AGCCCUCAGGCCAGAAGUGACCUGUGGAGCUGUCAAGGAGCUCCCCCCCUACCCCUCCACCCCACGAACAUUCGCAUUAGACUAGUCUCCUUUUAUCUUUCUCUCUCCGGUGCAAGAAUGGAGUUGGCUCUGGUGAGACCAGACAGCAGCCCCUACCUUAUCUAGAGAGACUGCCAAUGUACAAACAUUUAUACAAGUGGCCUCAGAGCAAUGAAUCACUCCAUCAACUCCAUUUCCCCCCUGACGUGCUUCGUGAUGGCACAUUGCAGAACACUUCAGAAGAUUCUUAUUUAGCACCUGCCUCUGCUGCUUUGCUGUCUCCUUACCUGAAAGAAAAGGCUCUACGGAUAUCGGACGCCCAUCAGCGCCUUAUCUAGAUUCUUGAUGCCACCAAGGCCAAGGCCAUCCUGAUUGGCUCCUGUCAGCGCAUCCACAUGUCAGGCAUUGACAGCAUCA